rnacentral:rRNA from 1 species
GACGAACGCUUGCGGCGUGCUUAACACAUGCAAGUCGAACGGAAAGGCCCUGCUUUUGUGGGGUGCUCGAGUGGCGAACGGGUGAGUAACACGUGAGUAACCUGCCCUUGACUUUGGGAUAACUUCUGGAAACUGGGGCUAAUACCGGAUAGGAGCUCCUGCUGCAUGGUGGGGGUUGGAAAGUUUCGGCGGUUGGGGAUGGACUCGCGGCUUAUCAGCUUGUUGGUGGGGUAGUGGCUUACCAAGGCUUUGACGGGUAGCCGGCCUGAGAGGGUGACCGGCCACAUUGGGACUGAGAUACGGCCCAGACUCCUACGGGAGGCAGCAGUGGGGAAUAUUGCACAAUGGGCGGAAGCCUGAUGCAGCAACGCCGCGUGCGGGAUGACGGCCUUCGGGUUGUAAACCGCUUUCGCCUGUGACGAAGCGUGAGUGACGGUAAUGGGUAAAGAAGCACCGGCUAACUACGUGCCAGCAGCCGCGGUGAUACGUAGGGUGCGAGCGUUGUCCGGAUUUAUUGGGCGUAAAGGGCUCGUAGGUGGUUGAUCGCGUCGGAAGUGUAAUCUUGGGGCUUAACCCUGAGCGUGCUUUCGAUACGGGUUGACUUGAGGAAGGUAGGGGAGAAUGGAAUUCCUGGUGGAGCGGUGGAAUGCGCAGAUAUCAGGAGGAACACCAGUGGCGAAGGCGGUUCUCUGGGCCUUUCCUGACGCUGAGGAGCGAAAGCGUGGGGAGCGAACAGGCUUAGAUACCCUGGUAGUCCACGCUGUAAACGGUGGGUACUAGGUGUGGGGUCCAUUCCACGGGUUCCGUGCCGUAGCUAACGCUUUAAGUACCCCGCCUGGGGAGUACGGCCGCAAGGCUAAAACUCAAAGGAAUUGACGGGGCCCCGCACAAGCGGCGGAGCAUGCGGAUUAAUUCGAUGCAACGCGUAGAACCUUACCUGGGUUUGACAUGGAUCGGGAGUGCUCAGAGAUGGGUGUGCCUCUUUUGGGGUCGGUUCACAGGUGGUGCAUGCCUGUCGUCAGCUCGUGUCGUGAGAUGUUGGGUUAAGUCCCGCAACGAGCGCAACCCUUGUUCACUGUUGCCAGCACGUUAUGGUGGGGACUCAGUGGAGACCGCCGGGGUCAACUCGGAGGAAGGUGGGGAUGACGUCAAGUCCUCAUGCCCCUUAUGUCCAGGGCUUCACGCAUGCUACAAUGGCUGGUACAGAGAGUGGCGAGCCUGUGAGGGUGAGCGAAUCUCGGAAAGCCGGUCUCAGUUCGGAUUGGGGUCUGCAACUCGACCUCAUGAAGUCGGAGUCGCUAGUAAUCGCAGAUCAGCAACGCUGCGGUGAAUACGUUCCCGGGGCU